rnacentral:lncRNA from 1 species
AGAGAAGCCGUUCCACUUUUCUGUUCCUUGGUGCACAAUAGUCUGCUGCCAAAGCAGCCUAGGGAGUAGCAAUGAGUGGUUUUUGCACCCUCCUGUGACAGGCAGCAUGGAGAGGAAGUACUUUCAGGAAACAGAUUACAUGAGGUGGAUGGGGGGCAAGCUUGUAAAAGAGUGGUAG